UUUUAAAUUUUGCGCAAAUACAUUCGCGUAGUAUUGCGCGAUAUUUUACAACAUCAGCAGCAUCAAUAGAAACAUAAAAUACGCUGAAAUCUGAUAUAAAUCUAACGCAACAAAGUAUAACAAUAUUUCAACAAUAUAUCCAUUGCACAAACACCACAAUAUCAAAAUUCAGUAGAAUAUAACAUUAUACCAAACUAUAAUAUGAUAUGCACGUGGAUGUCGACUUGGGAGGUAAUUAUACUUACUGGGAUAUGCUCUAAAAGAGGUUUUCCAAGAAAAGAAAUAAGAAAAUCUCAAGUAAAGCUCUCAGCCGGAUGUGACUGUAGUAACCAGUGACCGGUGACAGAGCACUGAUGACCGUGGAUAAAAUCCAAGUCAAGGAUCACAGGCACGAAAUAAAUUUCGUGCUCCUUUCCAGGCCACGCCGUGCAGAAAAUGGCGCUCGUGCUUUUUCAGCAUAAUACGCGGGGCUUAGUCAUAAUUAGAUGGAAUCAGAAGGCGACCCAGUCGUCAGAAUACUCACUCAAAGAACAUUUUUGUUAUCCUAUGUCAGCAAGAGACUCGAAAUGGUCUUGAAAUCAAUAUGCAAAGGCUAAGUUUGUUCAACUGAUUGAAGGUAACACUCCCUAGCAAUGAACAUAAUAAUUAAUUCUUACGAAAGUAACGAGAAAAUCAACAUUUAAAUAAAUGCCAAGAAAAAAUAAUAUCGGCAUCCGGUAAACAUGUUUUUUUUGUUUCAUGUUAUGAAUAAAUCUUGUGUCGAGUCAUAACAAAAUUAAGCGAGAUGCGCAUGAGCAAUUUUUGGAACCGUCAAAAAUUCACGUGGCACUUUUAUUUUAAGAAUAAACCAAGCAUGAAGUCAGUAAAAAUAAAUCUAUUAAUUUAAAUAAUAAGACUAAAAAUAUCGGAUGUGAAGGUGCAAUCUCAUGAGAAAACUCUGAGCAGGUAAUAAAUUUAUAAUGAAGUGUUAUCAUACUCGGUGGCGCAUGACUGCGUAUAAAUUAAUUGCGUGCGGACUGCGGACAACAAUACGGCAAUUAGCAAAUUGAAAAAUCAUGUCUAUUAUACUAGUGCACUGGGGAAAAAUCAUCGACAUGUGAAAAUCUAACUGUGCAUUUGAAAGAACGACGCACAUCAUGCGAAUUUUCCCACCGAAUGGAAAUCUGGUGAAGGCGCGUUCCCAUCACCAGACCGUUAAUUGCUUAAUUGAAAAACGCGAUUAAUCUUACAAGGCAAUGCAAACAUGUAUUAUAUUAAUGACGCAAUUCCAAAUCAACACACGCGUAAAAAAACUGUAAAUAACAGAUUUCGAUCGGAAUUGGCCUUGAUGUUAUUUUUCGAGACACAGAAAAAGAAUAAAAGAAUAAUGAUUUGAACUUUAGCUUGAUAUUUACUAGCUCAAUUGAAGUUGUUGGGUUGGUAGAUGGGGGCAUUCGAGUUCGUUACGAAUAAAGCUAAACCGGGCGGCUGGCCCCACUUUUUGGACACAGACACAGAAGUUUAAAAGAGUAAAUUGCGCCGCAAGCAGUGAAGAGCAGCGUAAGGCAGCAACAAAGCCGAAUGGCGAUGUUGGCGGCCUUGGUUUCGCCAAAAAAUUAAAGUGACGCGCAGUUUUUACACAAAGCACAAUUACCAAAGACGCAAUUUACGAAUGUAUAAGAGCGCACAUUACGCAGCAUGUGCUCCACGGGUGUGAAGGAUGCGCACCAAAGAACUGCGUGGAUAAUUUCGGCACUUUCAGCGGCAUGUUAGCAAUUACAGGCGACUAAUGAUUCUAUUUUUGAAGUACAUACUUAUUUUUCGGUGUUUAAAAAUAUCCUACUAUUUGGAUAAAGAAAACAGCGCUUUUUCUAUGAAUAUAAUCAUUUUUAAGCAACUAUAAACGAAAAAAGAUGCAAAACUCAUUAUAAUCAAUGAGGUGUUUUUGCAAGUUUUGAAGGUGACUUUCUGUUGUGUCACAUGUUUCGUUCGCGAGUCAAUUAUUCAUAACGGCAUUGUUAUAAAAAUAGCGAUUUGUAUAAAUGGGCGUAGUUAAAGGUGUGGGCAGUGAAUCGUUCGAGUGAUAAAUUUACACAUCCUUUACAAACAAUGAUCCUUAAAAUAUUAACAACUAAAAACUACUCCGGUAAAAAAUUGAACCACACAGUGUAUAUUCUUGGAACUAAGAAUUAAAUUUAAUGGGAUGUGAUUCAUGCACUUCAAGUUAAAGUUUGUCAAAACCACUAUAAAAAAAUUCAAAACACGACAUUGCUAAAACCUCAGACAAAAAAAUAUAAGAAAACAUUCGCAAGCUAAACGCGAAUGCGGAUAUUAAGCGUUUGUAUGUGGUGGCUGCGGUGCUACUAAAUUUGCCACGAAAAUAACAGUGUCAAUGACAGAUCGACUUGUUGCAACUUGCAUACCCAAACUAUUUCAACACUUACCGACAGACGACUCUCCCUGAUAUCUGCAAAAAGAUAAAUAUUGAUAUUAGCAUGAUUUACUAAAUGCACACACUAACAGUUUUUGAGAUAUUUCAGAUAAAUAAACAGAUUAACAUUAAUAUGGAGAAAGCGAUUACAAAGUCCAAUAAAUCUGUAGCUGUUAAUCGUUAAUUAAUGUCGUUAAUCUUAUGGGACAACAAAAAUGUACUUUUCAAAUAAUUAACUUUAUCUGCCAGACUAAUUCAUUAUUUUGUAUAAAGUACAAUUGCAACUCGAGCUGAGUGGAUAACAAACAGCAGUAUUGUUUAUAAACGAUUUAUCGGAUAAACAAAUGUCGGAGCUCUCUGAGCAAAUAAAGUGGCUCUAGGCAGUUGAACCAAAAGUUCGUUGUGCUUGAUACGCGGGAGUGACCGACAUGCAUAGUUAUUACAAAUGUUUGUUCAUCAUGGUAUUUCAUUGUGAACAAAUAAAUAAUAUUAACUCCCAUGUGAGUAAUUAACUAAAUGUAUUAAUAACAUAUUAUUCUAGGUUUAAAUAUAAUAUACUAAAUUGAUACAGGGCGCCUCCACCAAAAAAUCAAAUCAUCUAUUAUGUCUUUAUUGUGAAAGAGCGAAAAUGAACUUUUCUUGUUAGUGACUCGCCGGCGUGAAAUGAAAAAUUAAACAAUCAAAACAAUCAAAACGCGUCGAGUGGUUAAAGACUCCGAGUUGACUUGCGAGUCGAGUGGAAAGACUUUUUAUUUGCUCGCCGGCGCGUCAGAAGAUCCUAUGCAGCCUCUGAAGGUCUGAAGAGUUUGAAAGAAGUCCAAAAGGAAAGGAUUGCCCACCGGGAGAAAAUGAGAAGCGAUGCUGAUUCUCAUCACCAACGCGCCAGCCGUAAAAAUAUGAUGGGUGUAGGUACACCCAAGUGUAUGCUGAAGAAAAAUAAAAGAGUCACGUAGGUCGGCGCCGUCGUGCCGUUUCUUCGCGUUCGCUAUGAUUUCAAGCGAUUCCAACUCCAGCGCUCCAAACGCUUCAAAGAAAUGCCGCAUUUAACAACUGCACCUACCAACAUCCACUACAUGUCCCAAAAUUAUCAAUAAAUUUAUAGAAGUAGCAAGCUGAGAAAUUUUGUUUAUGCACAUCAGGACAAUCCUCAAGUAGGAGUGUUAAUUAUCUUAAGCAAUGUUUAAAAUUUAGAAU